rnacentral:rRNA from 1 species
UACGAAGGGGGCUAGCGUUGCUCGGAAUUACUGGGCGUAAAGGGCGCGUAGGCGGCACUGUUAGUCAGGCGUGAAAUUCCUGGGCUCAACCUGGGGACUGCGCUUGAUACGGCAGAGCUUGAGGAUGGAAGAGGGUCGCGGAAUUCCCAGUGUAGAGGUGAAAUUCGUAGAUAUCUGGAGGAACACCGGUGGCGAAGGCGGCAUCCUGGACCGACACUGACGCUGAGGAGCGAAAGCCAGGGGAGCAAACGGG